rnacentral:rRNA from 1 species
GAUGAACGCUGGCGGCGUGCCUAAUACAUGCAAGUCGAGCGAAUGGAUUAAGAGCUUGCUCUUAUGAAGUUAGCGGCGGACGGGUGAGUAACACGUGAGUAACCUGCCCAUAAGACUGGGAUAACUCCGGGAAACCGGGGCUAAUACCGGCUAACAUUUUGAACCGCAUGGUUCGAGAAUGAAAGGCGGCUUCGGCUGUCACUUAUGGAUGGACCCGCGUCGCAGUAGCUAGUUGGUGAGGGAACGGCUCACCAAGGCGACGAUGCGUAGCCGACCUGAGAGGGUGAUCGGCCACACUGGGACUGAGACACGGCCCAGACUCCUACGGGAGGCAGCAGUAGGGAAUCUUCCGCAAUGGACGAAAGUCUGACGGAGCAACGCCGCGUGAGUGAUGAAGGCUUUCGGGUCGUAAAACUCUGUUGUUAGGGAAGAACAAGUGCUAGUUGAAUAAGCUGGCACCUUGACGGUACCUAACCAGAAAGCCACGGCUAACUACGUGCCAGCCGCCGCUGUAA